UUCAAGGAUCUCUUCACUGAAUACUCUUCACAUGAAGAUGACUCAACACUAAAGAAUGACCAAGGAACCAGCAGUGUAGCAACUAUCGAUAACCCAUGGGAACAAUGGAAUAAACAAGUUCAAGAAGAGCAACAAAAUCGAGCAAAGCUGACUGAACUUACUAUAUAUUUGAAAGAUGUUGUUCACCCGCAAGAAGAAGGGUUUGAUAUACUAUGUUGGUGGUCUGCAAAUGCACAUAAGUACCCCAUCAUUUCUCGCAUAGCAAAGGAUGUAUUGGCUGCACCAGUAUCAACCGUAGCUUCUGAGUCCGCCUUCUCCACCGGAGGAAGAAUACUAAGUGACUAUAGGAGCCAUAUGAUAGGCUCUACUGUAGAGGCAUUAAUUUGUCUUCAAGACUGGUUGCGGCCUCCCGGAACUACUCAUGUCAACACAAUAACAAGUGAUGUUGUUUAUGCAAAGCGUGCUGAUAUUUAUGGAUCAAGGGAUGAUAUUUUUGAGGAAUGAUUGCAACAUUAGAGGGCCUGAAGAACUAUCCCAGACAAACCGGACCAAAGCUUACAACGCAGAACAUGCAUGAUGCUAAGGGGGUGGUGAAAACGGAAGCAAAUACCCAUGUGAAUACUUGAUGCAGAACUAAUACUUGAUUCAGUUAAGAUUGCAUGUUA